rnacentral:miRNA from 1 species
GAUGAGCAAAGAAAGCGGUUUCCGUCUCAAGAAACCACUUUCUUUGCUCAUCCAUAAGGA